rnacentral:rRNA from 1 species
AACUGAAUCCAUAGGUUAAUGAGGCGAACCGGGGGAACUGAAACAUCUAAGUACCCCGAGGAAAAGAAAUCAACCGAGAUUCCCCCAGUAGCGGCGAGCGAACGGGGAGGAGCCCAGAGCCUGAAUCAGUGUGUGUGUUAGUGGAAGCGUCUGGAAAGGCGCGCGAUACAGGGUGACAGCCCCGUACACAAAAAUGCACAUACUGUGAGCUCGAUGAGUAGGGCGGGACACGUGGUAUCCUGUCUGAAUAUGGGGGGACCAUCCUCCAAGGCUAAAUACUCCUGACUGACCGAUAGUGAACCAGUACCGUGAGGGAAAGGCGAAAAGAACCCCGGCGAGGGGAGUGAAAAAGAACCUGAAACCGUGUACGUACAAGCAGUGGGAGCCUCUUAAUGGGGUGACUGCGUACCUUUUGUAUAAUGGGUCAGCGACUUAUAUUCUGUAGCAAGGUUAACCGAAUAGGGGAGCCGAAGGGAAACCGAGUCUUAACUGGGCGUUAAGUUGCAGGGUAUAGACCCGAAACCCGGUGAUCUAGCCAUGGGCAGGUUGAAGGUUGGGUAACACUAACUGGAGGACCGAACCGACUAAUGUUGAAAAAUUAGCGGAUGACUUGUGGCUGGGGGUGAAAGGCCAAUCAAACCGGGAGAUAGCUGGUUCUCCCCGAAAGCUAUUUAGGUAGCGCCUCGUGAAUUCAUCUCCGGGGGUAGAGCACUGUUUCGGCAAGGGGGUCAUCCCGACUUACCAACCCGAUGCAAACUGCGAAUACCGGAGAAUGUUAUCACGGGAGACACACGGCGGGUGCUAACGUCCGUCGUGAAGAGGGAAACAACCCAGACCGCCAGCUAAGGUCCCAAAGUCAUGGUUAAGUGGGAAACGAUGUGGGAAGGCCCAGACAGCCAGGAUGUUGGCUUAGAAGCAGCCAUCAUUUAAAGAAAGCGUAAUAGCUCACUGGUCGAGUCGGCCUGCGCGGAAGAUGUAACGGGGCUAAACCAUGCACCGAAGCUGCGGCAGCGACACUAUGUGUUGUUGGGUAGGGGAGCGUUCUGUAAGCCUGUGAAGGUGUACUGUGAGGUAUGCUGGAGGUAUCAGAAGUGCGAAUGCUGACAUAAGUAACGAUAAAGCGGGUGAAAAGCCCGCUCGCCGGAAGACCAAGGGUUCCUGUCCAACGUUAAUCGGGGCAGGGUGAGUCGACCCCUAAGGCGAGGCCGAAAGGCGUAGUCGAUGGGAAACAGGUUAAUAUUCCUGUACUUGGUGUUACUGCGAAGGGGGGACGGAGAAGGCUAUGUUGGCCGGGCGACGGUUGUCCCGGUUUAAGCGUGUAGGCUGGUUUUCCAGGCAAAUCCGGAAAAUCAAGGCUGAGGCGUGAUGACGAGGCACUACGGUGCUGAAGCGACAAAUGCCCUGCUUCCAGGAAAAGCCUCUAAGCAUCAGGUAACAUCAAAUCGUACCCCAAACCGACACAGGUGGUCAGGUAGAGAAUACCAAGGCGCUUGAGAGAACUCGGGUGAAGGAACUAGGCAAAAUGGUGCCGUAACUUCGGGAGAAGGCACGCUGAUAUGUAGGUGAAGCGACUUGCUCGUGGAGCUGAAAUCAGUCGAAGAUACCAGCUGGCUGCAACUGUUUAUUAAAAACACAGCACUGUGCAAACACGAAAGUGGACGUAUACGGUGUGACGCCUGCCCGGUGCCGGAAGGUUAAUUGAUGGGGUUAGCGGUAACGCGAAGCUCUUGAUCGAAGCCCCGGUAAACGGCGGCCGUAACUAUAACGGUCCUAAGGUAGCGAAAUUCCUUGUCGGGUAAGUUCCGACCUGCACGAAUGGCGUAAUGAUGGCCAGGCUGUCUCCACCCGAGACUCAGUGAAAUUGAACUCGCUGUGAAGAUGCAGUGUACCCGCGGCAAGACGGAAAGACCCCGUGAACCUUUACUAUAGCUUGACACUGAACAUUGAGCCUUGAUGUGUAGGAUAGGUGGGAGGCUUUGAAGUGUGGACGCCAGUCUGCAUGGAGCCGACCUUGAAAUACCACCCUUUAAUGUUUGAUGUUCUAACGUGGGCCCCUUACCGGGGUUGCGGACAGUGUCUGGUGGGUAGUUUGACUGGGGCGGUCUCCUCCUAAAGAGUAACGGAGGAGCACGAAGGUUGGCUAAUCCUGGUCGGACAUCAGGAGGUUAGUGCAAUGGCAUAAGCCAGCUUGACUGCGAGCGUGACGGCGCGAGCAGGUGCGAAAGCAGGUCAUAGUGAUCCGGUGGUUCUGAAUGGAAGGGCCAUCGCUCAACGGAUAAAAGGUACUCCGGGGAUAACAGGCUGAUACCGCCCAAGAGUUCAUAUCGACGGCGGUGUUUGGCACCUCGAUGUCGGCUCAUCACAUCCUGGGGCUGAAGUAGGUCCCAAGGGUAUGGCUGUUCGCCAUUUAAAGUGGUACGCGAGCUGGGUUUAGAACGUCGUGAGACAGUUCGGUCCCUAUCUGCCGUGGGCGCUGGAGAACUGAGGGGGGCUGCUCCUAGUACGAGAGGACCGGAGUGGACGCAUCACUGGUGUUCGGGUUGUCAUGCCAAUGGCACUGCCCGGUAGCUAAAUGCGGAAGAGAUAAGUGCUGAAAGCAUCUAAGCACGAAACUUGCCCCGAGAUGAGUUCUCCCUGACUCCUUGAGAGUCCUGAAGGAACGUUGAAGACGACGACGUUGAUAGGCCGGGUGUGUAAGCGCAGCGAUGCGUUGAGCUAACCGGUACUAAUGAACCGUGAGGCUUAACCUU